rnacentral:misc_RNA from 1 species
AGAUGCUCAUUCCAUCUCUUAUGUUCGCCCUCUGGCCUCAUAAACUCAGGAAUGAUGCAGAGCCAUUUACGGUGCUUAUCGUCCACAGACAGAUGUCGCGUAGCCUCAUCAAACACCAUGGACAUAACGUUGAGUGAAGCACCCAUUU